AGCUCUGAAGGUUGAUUAGUAAAAUAAAUUCGUUCCGCCGGAUUGUCCAUGUGGAAAAUAGAUGGAAACCUGAACUGAAGAGGC